rnacentral:rRNA from 1 species
AACGAACGCUGGCGGCGCGUCUUAAGCAUGCAAGUCGAACGGCAAGAGAGGAGCUUGCUUCUCUCCUAGAGUGGCGGACUGGUGAGGAACACGUGGGUAAUCUACCCUUAAGAUGGGGAUAGCUGCUAGAAAUAGCAGGUAAUACCGAAUACACUCGGCAUAUCACAAGAGGUGUUGAGGAAAGGAAGCUACGGCUUCGCUUGAGGAUGAGCUUGCGUCCCAUUAGCUAGUUGGUGAGGUAAAGGCCCACCAAGGCGACGAUGGGUAUCCGGCCUGAGAGGGUGAACGGACACAGUAGGACUGAGAUACGGCCCAAACUCCUACGGGAGGCAGCAGCGAAGAAUAUUCCGCAAUGGACGGAAGUCUGACGGAGCGACGCCGCGUGGAUGAAGAAGGCUGAAAAGUUGUAAAAUCCUUUUGUUGAUGAAGAAUAAGGGUGAGAGGGAAUGCUCAUCUGAUGACGGUAAUCGACGAAUAAGCCCCGGCUAAUUACGUG